rnacentral:snRNA from 1 species
GCACUCGCUUCGGCAGCACAUAUACUAAACUUGGAAUGAUACAGAGAAGAUUAGCAUGGCCCCUGCACAAGGAUGACACGCAAAUUCGUGAAGCAUUCCAUAUUUUU